GCGAGGGCAGGGGGUACCGGAAGGAGGUGCCACCGGAGGAGAGGCAAGAGGACAGGAAGGGGUGGGGGAAGGGCGGAAGAGGCUGUGCUGCCGCCAUGUUGGGCGAGGGCAGGGGGUACCGGAAGGAGGUGCCACCGGAGGAGAGGCAAGAGGACAGGAAGGGGAGGGAAAUGGGCGGAAGAGGCUGUGCUGCCGCCAUGUUGGGCGAGGGCAGGGGGUACCGGAAGGAGGUGCCACCGGAGGAGAGGCGAGAGGACAGGAAGGGGUGGGGGAAGGGCGGAAGAGGCUGUGCUGCCGCCAUGUUGGGCAAGAGCAGGGGGUACCCGGAAGGAGGUGCCACCGGAGGAGAGGCAAGAGGACAGGAAGGGUAGGGGAGGGAAAUGGGCGGUAGAGGCUGUGCUGCCGCCAUGUUGCGCGAGG